CGCGUAGGCGGCCUGCUAAGUCUGGAGUGAAAGUCCUGCUUUCAAGGUGGGAAUUGCUUUGGAUACUGGUGGGCUGGAGUGCAGGAGAGGAAAGCGGAAUUACCGGUGUAGCGGUGAAAUGCGUAGAGAUCGGUAGGAACACCAGUGGCGAAGGCGGCUUUCUGGACUGGAACUGACGCUGAGGCGCGAAAGCGUGGGGAGCAAACA
rnacentral:rRNA from 1 species